UACGGGGGAUCCGGGCGUUAUCCGGAUUUAUUGGGUUUAAAGGGUGCGCAGGCGGGGGAUUAAGUCGGCGGUGAAAUUUUGCAGCUCAACUGUAAAAGUGCCUUCGAAACUGGUUUCCUUGAGUGUAGAUGAAGUAGGCGGAAUUUGUGGUGUAGCGGUGAAAUGCAUAGAUAUCACGAGGAACUCCGAUUGCGCAGGCAGCUUACUAAACUACUACUGACGCUCAGGCACGAAGGCGUGGGGAUCAAACAGGAUUAGAUACCCGCGUAGUCCCUGA
rnacentral:rRNA from 1 species